UGACACGUAGGCACCAAGCGUUGUCCGGAUUUAUUGGGCGUAAAGAGCUCGUAGGCGGUUCGGUAAGUCGGGUGUGAAAACUCUGGGCUCAACCCAGAGACGCCACCCGAUACUGCUGUGACUAGAGUGCGGUAGGGGAGCGGGGAAUUCCUGGUGUAGCGGUGAAAUGCGCAGAUAUCAGGAGGAACACCAGUGGCGAAGGCGCCGCUCUGGGCCGUGACUGACGCUGAGGAGCGAAAGCGUGGGUAGCAAACAGGAUUAGAUACCCUGGUAGUCCACGCCGUAAACGUUGGGCACUAGGUGUGGGUCUCAACCAACGAGAUCCGCGCCGUCGCAAACGCAUUAAGUGCCCCGCCUGGGGAGUACGGUCGCAAGACUA
rnacentral:rRNA from 1 species